rnacentral:rRNA from 1 species
GACGGAGCACGCCGCGUGAGUGAAGAAGGUUUUCGGAUCGUAAAACUCUGUUGUCAGGGAAGAACAAGUACGGUAGUAACUGCCCGUACCUUGACGGUACCUGGCCAGAAAGCCACGGCUAACUACGUGCCAGCAGCCGCGGUAAUACGUAGGUGGCAAGCGUUGUCCGGAAUUAUUGGGCGUAAAGCGCGCGCAGGCGGCCUUUUAAGUCUGAUGUGAAAGCCCCCGGCUCAACCGGGGAGGGUCAUUGGAAACUGGAAGGCUUGAGUGCAGAAGAGAAGAGCGGAAUUCCACGUGUAGCGGUGAAAUGCGUAGAGAUGUGGAGGAACACCAGUGGCGAAGGCGGCUCUUUGGUCUGUAACUGACGCUGAGGCGCGAAAGCGUGGGGAGCGAACAGGAUUAGAUACCCUGGUAGUCCACGCCGUAAACGAUGAGUGCUAAGUGUUGGGGGGUUUCCGCCCCUCAGUGCUGCAGCUAACGCAUUAAGCACUCCGCCUGGGGAGUACGGCCGCAAGGCUGAAACUCAAAG